rnacentral:rRNA from 1 species
UAAUACGUAGGUGGCAAGCGUUGUCCGGAUUUAUUGGGCGUAAAGCGCACGCAGGCGGUUCGUUAAGUCCGGGGUGAAAUCUCUCGGCUCAACUGAGAGGGGUCUCCGGAUACUGGCGGACUUGAGUGCAUCAGAGGAGAGCGGAAUUCCCGGUGUAGUGGUGAAAUGCGUAGAUAUCGGGAGGAACACCAGUGGCGAAGGCGGCUCUCUGGGGUGUGACUGACGCUGAGGUGCGAAAGCGUGGGGAGCGAACCGGAUUAGAUACCCGGGUAGUCCACGCUGUAAACGAUGGACACUAGGUGUGGGGGGUAUCGACCCCCUCUGUGCCGUAGCUAACGCAAUAAGUGUCCCGCCUGGGGACUACGGCCGCAAGGCUA